UGUAGGGGCGGAGUGGGGCUGAGUGGAUGGGCUGAGGGCAUCUGCCCUCUGCCAGGCCCCUCUUGCCCCCAGUGCAUUGCGUGCCUGACCUAUUUGGUUGCCGUGGUAACCACCAGCACUUCCUGGACGCAGCCAUGGGGAUGACCCGGACCUGGGUUUCUACCAUCUAUAGCCUCAGUCUGGCCUGGCUGCUGGGUUUCUGCCCCACCCUCUGCUAGUCUAGGGAAAUCUAGCACCCUGAGGUAGCCUCUGCCCAGGGUCCACCAGGCUGACCCUCCUGUACCUGGCUCCACCAGCCCUUCCCCUUUCCCAUCUGUGAGCCCCUCCUGGCUUUGAUGGCCCUGAGGACUCCCCUCUCUGGCCCCCUGCUUGACCCCAGGUGAUCACAUUCUCCAUUUCAGUGCCAUUUACAGCUCCAGGUAAGAGGUACCUCCCCUGUCAGGCGCCACGGCCCCUUCCCACGACCCCCACCUGUUCCUCUGUCGGACAGGAGCUUGGACAUGCCUCUCUAACCUGUCCUGCCACCAUGGCCAGAUUCAGAUUCAUCCUCCAUGCCUCGACUGUGGGUCACCCUCCCUGUUCAAGAAGCUUCUUCUAGUCCUUUCUGUCUGUGUUUUGCUAAUGGAAAUCCCUCGGGUUGACUUUGAAACACUCUCAACAUGACCCCUCAUUAUCUCACCUCCGGGCACAGCCUUUGCCCAGCCUGUUCUUUCCGACUGGAAGCCCUCACCUCUCCAAGUCCUUCUGCCAUUUCAGCCCCACUUGUUCUGCGGACACUUCCUGGCUGCUCAUGCCUCGAUGCCUACAGCUAGACCUCUGCCUUCUCCAACUUAGCACCUGAUCAUAAAAGGGCCGCUCUCCGUAGGACAUCACCUCCCACAUGACGAUGCCGUAGCUCCACACGUCGCUGGCCGAGCAAUCUCAUGAUGCACGUUAUUGUUCUCCAGACUCACUGUGCUGCUUCGGACCACUGGGCAUUUGCACAUGCUGUGCCCUCCAAAUAAAGUGCCUCUUCCCACUCCACCAUCUGGAAACCUCCUCCUCAUGCCUAAAGCCUUUCCCUAGCUCCCAAAGAGUUCUUCACUCUCCUUACUCCCACAUCUGCGCCUCAUGUCUCCCCAUCAAGGCUUGUCUCAUACGGCACAGCUCUGAAACUAAUUGCCUGUGGGGAACCUGUGGCCUUCUGAUUUCAGAAUUGUUCUUUGUUAAGUGCUGAAGGGGGCAAGAAAAGCUUCAUCUUCCUCUGCCGCACCCCUUUUAAUAAAAGGAUUGUUCUUUAAAAUUUGGAUUCAGUCAAAAGGCCGCACUUAAGGAUCUAGAAGCCCACAGGCUCCCCAAGGCUGCAGCCCCCCCCCCCCCCCCAGCAGCGGCUCUCAGCUCUUUGUGUUUUAUUUCUUUCCAUUUAAAACCCUUCAACAACCGAAACUGUUUUCAGGAGUGAGUGUGGGCGUUCAAGGCCCUCUAAGAUCUGGCCCUGCCCACCUCUCCAGCACAGGUGCUCACCGCCUCCCCCUUACAGCUUGAACCCAGGCACGGGACCUGCCCCGAGAACACGGCAUCUGAGACACUUUUACUGGCCCUUCGGCUCUCGGCUCAGGUGUCACCCGCUCUGGCCAGCCGCCUUCUGCCUCCAAGGCUGGCUGCCCUGGCUCAUUGCCCCGUCACUCCCGUACUUCCGUGUUCCCCAC